rnacentral:rRNA from 1 species
GACGAACGUUGGCGGCGUGCUUAAUACAUGCAAGUCAACUGAAGCACCGGUAGUAAUACUGGUGUGGAGGUGGCGCAACGGGUGAGUAACACGUAGGUAAUCUGCCUUCAGGUCUGACAUAACUCCGGGAAACCGGAGCUAAUAGCAGAUGAUGCAGCGGCUUGACAUCAAGACAGUUGUUAAAGCUUCGGCGCCUGAAGAUGAGCCUGCGUCUGAUUAGCUAGUUGGCGGAGUAAUGGCCCACCAAGGCUACGAUCAGUAACUGGUCUGAGAGGAUGAUCAGUCACACUGGAACUGAGACACGGUCCAGACUCCUACGGGAGGCAGCAGUAAGGAAUAUUGCUCAAUGGGAGAAAUCCUGAAGCAGCAACGCCGCGUGAGGGAUGAAGGGCUUUUGCUCGUAAACCUCUGUAGUGAGGGAAAAAAUUUCCACUCUGUGGAAUAUGAUGGUACCU